AUCCUAGCCUGUGACUGAAGUCCGUCAACUGCACAUUUCAGCAGCUGCACUUCCUCAUACACUUGUUUUACUACUGUGAAGCAGCAGCAUAUGCCGUGGCAGCUUUAAACUCCUGAUUACAGGAGGAAAAACAAUGGAAAUACAAUAAGACGUAUGGAAAAGAUACAUUAGCACUGGAUCCUGUGGGUAGAUACACUUCAGCUCAAGUGGAGACAAACGGACAAGACAUCCCAACAAGGAAUAUGGACCGGCAACUGUCUCCAAACUCAAGGAGGAGUUUUAGCUUUUCAUCUUUUCGUGUCAAAAAAAGGUCCCACAGUCAUGAAGAGGCUGGAUUUCCACGCAGAAGAGGGUUGCGGUCUUUUUCAUCAGUCCGAGAGACAUCAAGAAAAGAGUCAGUUCUAGAUGAUGGUAGCACCUUCCAGAUGCACAGUGGUCAGGACCAGGUGAAGAAGACAGGUAUGUAGAAGUAGCACAAACUGUAAGGGCCUGAAGCCCUGAUUGCAGCCACUGAUGAUCAGCUGCUUCAUUAUCUGUGUGGCAAGCAGCUGAAGGCUAACCGGUGCAGAGGUACAACCUGGUACUUUUUAACAGACAGUGGUAUAUAAGACAAACUGCUGUCAAACUUUUGACAAGCUGACUUAAUCAGAUUAGAUAAACAUCACAUCUGCAUACUGGAUAUAUGUCAUCCCUGGAUCCCCCUCCAGACCACCCAUCUGGCCUGACAUAUACACAUGCAAUAAAAUAAAUAAAUAACAAUAAAAUACA
rnacentral:lncRNA from 1 species